rnacentral:rRNA from 1 species
GUCGAGCGGCAGCGCGGUAGCAAUACUGGCGGCGAGCGGCGGACGGGUGAGGAAUACAUGGGAAUCUACCUUCUUGUGGGGGAUAACGUAGGGAAACUUACGCUAAUACCGCAUGAGACCGGAAGGUGAAAGCGGCGGACCGCAAGGCGUCGCGCGAGAAGAUGAGCCCAUGUCGGAUUAGCUAGUUGGUGAGGUAAAGGCUCACCAAGGCGACGAUCCGUAGCUGGUCUGAGAGGAUGAUCAGCCACACUGGAACUGAGACACGGUCCAGACUCCUACGGGAGGCAGCAGUGGGGAAUAUUGGACAAUGGGCGCAAGCCUGAUCCAGCCAUGCCGCGUGGGUGAAGAAGGCCUUCGGGUUGUAAAGCCCUUUUGUCCGGAACGAAAAGCUGCGGGUUAAUACCCCGUAGUGCUGACGGUACCGGAAGAAUAAGCACCGGCUAACUUCGUGCCAGCAGCCGCGGUAAUACGAAGGGUGCAAGCGUUACUCGGAAUCACUGGGCGUAAAGCGUGCGUAGGCGGUUUCUUAAGUCUGUCGUGAAAGCCCUGGGCUCAACCUGGGAAUGGCGAUGGAUACUGGGAGGCUAGAGUGUGAUAGAGGAUGGUGGAAUUCCCGGUGUAGCGGUGAAAUGCGUAGAGAUCGGGAGGAACACCAGUGGCGAAGGCGGCCAUCUGGAUCAACACUGACGCUGAGGCACGAAAGCGUGGGGAGCAAACAGGAUUAGAUACCCUGGUAGUCCACGCCCUAAACGAUGCGAACUGGACGUUGGGAGCAACUUGGCUCUCAGUGUCGAAGCUAACGCGUUAAGUUCGCCGCCUGGGGAGUACGGUCGCAAGACUGAA